UGUUCUGUGGCUUAGUUGCUUAAAGCGCCGGUCUAGCGAAUACGGAGUCGUGGGUUCGAAUCCCAUCAGAGCGC
rfam:Aedes albopictus isolate Foshan contig107598, whole genome shotgun sequence.